rnacentral:lncRNA from 1 species
UAAGAAAGUGUUUUCUGAAGAAAAAAAAAAAAUCUCAUUUAUCUGAUCGAUCUUCUCCUUCAAGUCCCAAUUCAAACGUCACCUUUUUUGGUGGAAACUUACUGGAGAUACCCCCAUAAGGCAAUAGCUGUUCGCUGGAAAACAUUUCCUGAGCACCCAGUGUAUACCUGCUUUGUGCAAGAGGCCAGGAACACAGCAGGCAACUUCCCAGCCCUCGAGGACCAGGAUGCUGGGCCAGCCAAACGGGGACCAUGGUCAAGGUUUGAGUCCCAUCUGAGCUGCUGGCCCGAGUCUUCCCAGGGACCCAGUCAUCAACAGUGGACCAGAUCCACCAACCAGGGCUCCUCCACGAGAACAAGGCUCCACAGGAACGAGGACUCUGUUUCCAUACCGCACUGCAGAGGGAUCGCCAAAGCUUGCUGUCCUAAGGGGACAGCAGGGAGA